rnacentral:ncRNA from 2 species
UGAGAACUGAAUUCCACGGGUU